CCACGCAGUUGCACCAGGGAAAUGUUAACCAAACAGAUCUUUUUUGCAGGUACUCUGUUUCCCCACAUUUAUUGAUAAAUUAAUUUCCCAUCAUGAUAAUGUAGCCCCCUUCCCCAAUCAAAUUCCUUCCAUUGAUACUACACAAAGAAACAGACAAAUACAACUUUUUACUAUAAUCUGGCAACCCUCAUAAAAUCCGACAUAGCACAAGUAUCCCAAAGUAUUAAGCGAAAACAAAAAUAGAAAACAGCAUUGGCAUCAAACAAAAACAAAAAAAGUAAGGCUACUAUUAUAUGACAAGUAUUUCGGUGACAACCUGGUUUAUUACUAAUAUUAGGUUGCUAACACUUUUUAAAAAUGUUUAUAAAUAAAUGUUGGACUCAAAAAAAGGCAGUGUAGAACCCCAUUACCCAAAAUGCAUUGCUCCAAUAAAUUUCAUAAGAUUGUUCUGAAGUUUCCCCCCAAAAUGUAUUUUCCUAUGAAUAAAGUCAUACAUUUUUUUUCUUCUACGAAUUAAGUCGCAAAAAAAUUUGUAUUGUCACACGAAUUAAGCCACACAAAAACGCAAAAUACGCACGAAAUCUGCGGAAAUACUUUUAAUACGUAUUUGCACAAAUUGAGUGUGAGAUUGUGCUGAUGUCACAGACAUAUUUAGGAAAUUUAACGAAUUGAACGCAAGCAUGCAGGGGAAAUACAAAAACAUUCUACAGAUGAGUGACCGAAUCAGUUGAUUCAGAGGAAAUAAUUCUUACUCGAGAGAGACUUUCAAAACCGAACUAAGACCCCUUCCUUCUGCUGUGCAUGUUUCUAACAGAAAACAUCUUCUGUAAGUGUCUCACACGAGUGUUGACUGUUCACCUUCAACAUUUGGAAUAAAUACCCUGCCGUCUCCCUGAGAGAUUAUGUGCGCACUGUCGAGUACACCCGUGAUUUUGAGAAGCUCCGACGCCACAUGAAUCAAGCACACCAAUCUCAUUAGUGGUGGGACAUUAUGUCAGAUUAAUUUGCAAUUGACUGCCAUAGCCCCACAUUAAAAGUAUAUCAUGUACCUUGCCACACCACAGGUGAAUCCCUGACUGGCUCCUCAGCAGAAAGACAUCGUUGGAGUUGAGCGAGGCUGCCAGGGCAGGCACCUCGAUGGCUUUGGUGUUGGAGGCGUCAGAACCGCGGACCUGGAACAAUCUGACGGGUGGCUCUGGGUCAGACACGCCUUUUCUGGAGAACACUGGAUUAUUGACCUCUGGCUGCUCUGACCCUGAGACUGACUGCCAUUCUGGACCUUUUAAACCCUAUCUGGAUUAAUGACAUCGUUGACCUGUCUUUGACCUGUCUUUUUGCAUGCCCAUGUAUUAAUAAUAAACAUUUUUUUUACUUUGA